rfam:Triticum aestivum genome assembly, contig: Triticum_aestivum_CS42_TGACv1_scaffold_290148_4AL
AUGGUACUCCAUCCGUUCCGAAUUACUUGUCUUGGAUUUGUCUAGAUACGGAUGUAUCUAGACACCUCCGUAUCUAAACAAAUCUAAGACAAGUAAUUCGGAACGGAGGGAGUAGAUG